rnacentral:rRNA from 1 species
AGCGAACGCUGGCGGCAGGCUUUACACAUGCAAGUCGAGCGGGAACUUUCGGGUGUCUGUGGCGGCCGGGUGCGUACCGCGUGGGAAUGUGUCCUCUGGUUCGGAAUAACUCAGGGUAACUUGGCCUAAUACCGGCUAAGCCCUCUUGGGCCCAGACUUGCUGCCGGAGGAUCGGUCCGCAUCUGAUUUGCUAGUUGGUGCGGUAACGGCUCACCAAGGUGACGAUCAGUAGCUGGUCUGAGAGGAUGAUCAGAAACUCUGGGGCUGAGACACGGCCCGGACUUCUACGCGAUGGAGGAGUGGGUGAUACAGGAAAACGGGGGGAAGCAUGAUGCAGUCAGGCCUGGUGAGUGAUUAAGGCCGUAGAGUUGUAAAGCGCGUUUAUCCGGGACGAAAAUGACGGUACCGGAGGAAUAAGCCCCGGCUAACUUCGUG